rnacentral:rRNA from 1 species
GAUGAACGCUGACAGAAUGCUUAACACAUGCAAGUCAUUGGCGAAGCUGCGCUUGCGCAGUCUAGCCAAGGCGGACGGGUGAGUAACGCGUAAGGAACUUGCCCUGCAGACAGGGAUAACAGACGGAAACGACUGAUAACACCUGGUAUUGUCAGGCUGGCGCAUGCCGGCCUGAUGAAAGGAGACGCUGCAGGAGAGCCUUGCGUCCUAUUAGCUAGUUGGUGGGGUAACGGCCCACCAAGGCGAUGAUAGGUAGCCGGCCUGAGAGGGUGAACGGCCACAAGGGGACUGAGAUACGGCCCUUACUCCUACGGGAGGCAGCAGUGGGGAAUAUUGGACAAUGGGGGCAACACUGAUCCAGCAAUUCUGUGUGCACGAAGAAGGUUUUCGGAUUGUAAAGUGCUUUCAGCAGGGAAGAAGAAAGUGACGGUACCUGCAGAAGAAGCGACGGCUAAAUACGUG